GACAGCUGCAGCACAACAGAGGAUUUAAAAAGAAGUAGUUGUAAAUGUUAAUUUUGGGAAGACAAGAUUCGGGGAUGAUUCACAGCGUAUGCUCACUCUUUUCUGUUCUGUUCAACAUGGAUAUGAAGAAAAAAAUUUUCCUUCCUUCCACACAGCUGCUGCCUUUUAGGAGAGGUGCUCCAUCCCUCUGAUCAUCUUUGUGGCGCUCCCCUGGAAUAGCUCCAACAGUUUCAUGUCUUUCUUGUGCUGAGGACACCAGAGCUGGAUGCAGUACUCCAGGUGGGGUCUCACCAGAGCUGAGAAGAGGGGCAGAAUCUCCUCCCUUGACCUGCUGGUCAUGCUUCUUUUGAUGUAGCUAAGAAUAUGGUUGGCUUUCUGGGCUGCAAGCACACAUUACCAGCUCAUGUCCAGCUUCUCUUUCACCAGAACACUAAUUCCUUCUCCACAGGGCUUCUCUCAAACCCCUUCAUCCCCAAGCCUGUAUUGAUACCAGGGAUUGUCCU